CUUUCCCUCUUUCUUCAGGCCUAACACAUGCAAGUCGAGCGGAUGGAGGGAGCUUGCUCCUGGAUUCAGCGGCGGACGGGUGAGUAAUGCCUAGGAAUCUGCCGGGUAGUGGGGGAUAACGUCCGGAAACGGGCGCUAAUACCGCAUACGUCCUGAGGGAGAAAGUGGGGGAUCUUCGGACCUCACGCUAUCAGAUGAGCCUAGGUCGGAUUAGCUAGUUGGUGGGGUAAAGGCCUACCAAGGCGACGAUCCGUAACUGGUCUGAGAGGAUGAUCAGUCACACUGGAACUGAGACACGGUCCAGACUCCUACGGGAGGCAGCAGUGGGGAAUAUUGGACAAUGGGCGAAAGCCUGAUCCAGCCAUGCCGCGUGUGUGAAGAAGGUCUUCGGAUUGUAAAGCACUUUAAGUUGGGAGGAAGGGCAGUAAGUUAAUACCUUGCUGUUUUGACGUUACCAACAGAAUAAGCACCGGCUAACUUCGUG
rnacentral:rRNA from 1 species